GACGAACGCUGGCGGCGCGCCUAACACAUGCAAGUCGAACGAGCGAGCGAGAGCUUGCUUUCUUGAGCGAGUGGCGCACGGGUGAGUAACGCGUGAGGAACCUGCCUCAAAGAGGGGGACAACAGUUGGAAACGACUGCUAAUACCGCAUAAGCCCACGUUACCGCCUGGCACAGAGGGAAAAGGAGCAAUCCGCUUUGAGAUGGCCUCGCGUCCGAUUAGCUAGUUGGUGAGGUAACGGCCCACCAAGGCGACGAUCGGUAGCCGGACUGAGAGGUUGAACGGACACAUUGGGACUGAGACACGGCCCAGACUCCUACGGGAGGCAGGAGUGGGGAAUAUUGCACAAUGGGGGAAACCAUGAUGCAGCGACGCCGCGUGGAGGAAGAAGGUCUUCGGAUUGUAAACUGCUGGUGUUGGGGAAGAUAAUGACGGUACCCAAUAAGGAAGUGACGGCUAACUACGUG
rnacentral:rRNA from 1 species